UCCCAUUUGGGUGAUUUAUUAGGGACUUGAUCAAUCAACUAACUUGAAUUUGUUUUCUCCCAUUUUGUAGAUGUCAAAGUAUGACAACUAUGGUCUUCCCAAAUCCCGUGGAACAAGCAUUCCACAUGAAGAUGAUAUUCCACGAUUCGAUUGAUGAACAAGAAAUCAUGCUUCACUUCCUCCACCUCCUCCAAUUAUUCNCUUCCUCCACCUCCUCCAAUUAUUCUCCCUAACCCACAAGUUCGAAGGCUUGAAAAGUUCAAACUCACUCAAGCCCUUUUGGCAAGUAAACAUAAAGAAGGAAAGUCAGUGUGUGCACACGUCCUAGAGAUGAAGUCACACAUUGAUAGGUUAAGAAUGUUGGGAUCCGUUGUCUGUGAGGAGAUGGCUGUUGAUUGGGUUCUUCAGUCACUUCCUAAAUCAUAUAGUGAGUUCGUAAGAGAGUACUAUAUGAUGAAUUGCGACGUGACCCUAUAGAUCUGACCUAUAUGCUUAUUGCUGCUGAAUCAGCAAUGGUUUGGCGCAAUUGAAAAGCAAAGUUGAUUGGUGAAUCUGCCUUCAAGACCUCUAUGGAUAUAGAAAAUGGCAACAAAUGACUUGCUAUGAUCAAAAAGUUUGAUCAUAAGAGAAAGGCAGUGUCUGAAGUAGUUCCAUGUCCUGUUCCAAAAGAGUCAAUCUGCCUUUAUUGCCAAGAGAAGGGGCAUUGGAGACGAAGCUGUCCUAUUUACCUAAGAGAUCUAAGAGAUGGGAGAGUCAAAUGUAUGGCUUUGCUUUAGGUAAAAUCCAUUGACUAACUCUUUUAAGCUCCUAUCCUAGAUUCUUAAUGUGAUAAGAUUACAAUUGGAUCGAAGAAAAGAAAGGAAGCUUAAGGGAAGAAGUGAGCAGAAUCUAACUGUGAAGAAAUGGAUUUCGAUCACAUUACUUGAAGAUUAGAUUCUUGAGCUACUACUUAGAGUUAGAAUUAGAAAUAUGUAUUAGCAUAGU
rnacentral:lncRNA from 1 species